CCAGGAUUCUCCUAGUAACGGCGAGUGAACGGAGAUUAGCCCAUCACCGAAGCCUGCGUGUGUUUGCAUGCUAGGCAAUGUGGUGUUUAAGCUUGUACCUGGGAUCGUGUGCCUACCCGAAGUCUAAAUCCGAUUGUGGCUUUGGAUUCAUUCCAUAGCGGGUGAAAGUCCCGUGCGGGUAGGACUAUUGCAAUCUACACGAUCCUCAGAUGUGCAUGCUUUCGAGUCGGAUUGCUUGAGAAUGCAGUCCAAAGUGGGUGGUAAACUCCAUCCAAGGCUAAAUACUGGCACGAGUCCGAUAGUAGACAAGUACCGUGAGGGAAAGUUGAAAAGUACUCUGAAGAGAGAGUAAAUAGUACGUGAAGCCGAUUGCAGGGAAGCUGGUGGAGUCAAGCUUCGUGCUUGAGGGAUUGAUGCUGAGAGCAGGUGUGUCAUUUGUAUGCGAGUUUGGUCAACUUGGAAUAAGUUGGGCGUGUUCUGAAUGCGCUUCAAGUCAUUCUGGGUAGACUGUUUGUGGCCAUGCUCGCUUUACUACUCUCAGUAUUGUAUUCCUCGCUGCACAGGCCACAGUCGAUACGUGCAUGCGGUAUGAAGGUCUAACUGUGCUUCGGCGGGUGCAAGCUCUCCGUGUGCAGGAUGGCAGGUGCUGUCUUCAGGCCUCGUGUCUGUUGGUAGUUGUUGUGGUUUCGACCGGCUGGUCUUCAUACUGUAUUGUGCAUAUUGCCUAUGAAUGGCGCUGCUUCUUCGGAAGUAGUGCUGUGAAGAA
rnacentral:rRNA from 1 species